GACGAACGCUGGCGGCGUGCUUAACACAUGCAAGUCGAACGGAAAGGCCCUGCUUUUGUGGGGUGCUCGAGUGGCGAACGGGUGAGUAACACGUGAGUAACCUGCCCUUGACUUUGGGAUAACUUCAGGAAACUGGGGCUAAUACCGGAUAGGAGCUCCUGCUGCAUGGUGGGGGUUGGAAAUUUUCGGCGGUUGGGGAUGGACUCGCGGCUUAUCAGCUUGUUUGUGGGGUAGUGGCUUACCAAGGCUUUGACGGGUAGCCGGCCUGAGAGGGUGACCGGGCACAUUGGGACUGAGAGACGGACCAGACUGCUACGGGAGGCAGCAGUGGGGAAUAUUGCACAAUGGGCGGAAGCCUGAUGCAGCAACGCCGCGUGCGGGAUGACGGCCUUCGGGGUGUAAACAGCUUUCGCCUGUGACGAAGCGUGAGUGACGGUAAUGGGUAAAGAAGCACCGGCUAACUACGUG
rnacentral:rRNA from 1 species